rnacentral:rRNA from 1 species
GAGUUUGAUCAUGGCUCAGGAUGAACGCUAGCGACAGGCUUAACACAUGCAAGUUGAGGGGCAGCAAUUUGUAGCAAUACAAAGUUGGCGACCGGCGCACGGGUGAGUAACGCGUAUGCAACCUACCCACAACAGAAGAAUAAUCCGGCGAAAGUCGGUCUAAUACUUCAUAAAACAGGGACACCGCAUGGUGUUAUUUGUUAAAGAUUUAUCGGUUGUGGAUGGGCAUGCGUACCAUUAGGUAGUUGGUGAGGUAACGGCCCACCAAGCCUACGAUGGUUAGGGGUUCUGAGAGGGUGGACGGCCACAUUGGGACUGAGAUACGGCCCAGACUCCUACGGGAGGCAGCAGUGGGGAAUAUUGCACAAUGGGCGCAAGCCUGAUGCAGCGACGCCGCGUGGGGGAUGACGGCCUUCGGGUUGUAAACUCCUUUCGUUAGGGACGAAGCCGCACUUUUUUUGGGUGUGGUGACGGUACCUUUGUUAAGAAGCACCGGCUAACUACGUGCCAGCAGCCGCGGUAAUACGUAGGGUGCGAGCGUUGUCCGGAAUUACUGGGCGUAAAGAGCUCGUAGGUGGUUUGUUGCGUCGUCUGUGAAAUUCCGGGGCUUAACUUCGGGGUGGCAGGCGAUACGGGCAUAACUAGAGUGCUGUAGGGGAGACUGGAAUUCCUGGUGUAGCGGUGGAAUGCGCAGAUAUCAGGAGGAACACCGAUGGCGAAGGCAGGUCUCUGGGCAGUAACUGACGCUGAGGAGCGAAAGCAUGGGGAGCGAACAGGAUUAGAUACCCUGGUAGUCCAUGCUGUAAACGGUGGGCGUUAGGUGUGGGGACCGGUUUGGUUUCUGUGCCGUAGCUAACGCAUUAAGCGCCCCGCCUGGGGAGUACGGCCGCAAGGCUAAAACUCAAAGGAAUUGACGGGGGCCCGCACAAGCGGCGGAGCAUGUGGAUUAAUUCGAUGCAACGCGAAGAACCUUACCUAGGUUUGACAUGCACCAGACGGUUGUAGAGAUACGUACCUCCCUUUGUGGUUGGUGUGCAGGUGGUGCAUGGUUGUCGUCAGCUCGUGUCGUGAGAUGUUGGGUUAAGUCCCGCAACGAGCGCAACCCUUGUCUUAUGUUGCCAGCACUUUGGGUGGGGACUCAUGAGAGACUGCCGGGGUUAACUCGGAGGAAGGUGGGGAUGACGUCAAAUCAUCAUGCCCUUUAUGCCCAGGGCUUCACACAUGCUACAAUGGUUAGUACAACGCGCUGCAAGCCUGUGAGGGUGAGCGAAUCGCUGAAAGCUAAUCUCAGUUCGGAUUGGGGUCUGCAACUCGACCCCAUGAAGUCGGAGUCGCUAGUAAUCGCAGAUCAGCAAUGCUGCGGUGAAUACGUUCCCGGGCCUUGCACACACCGCCCGUC